CCUCCAUAUCGUGAUUGAAAUGAGACCCUCAGCAGCUCAUUCCGGGCUCCACUCCCUCCACCUGGGCUGAAGCUCUCAGACAGGCUUUCCCACUCCCUCUGCCCUGCCCACACCUGUUUAAAAAACAGAUGCAGGAGCGUGAACCCAAGAAGUUACAGUGAGAAAAUGUAGUUAGUGUGAGUGAAUUUUAUGAUUGCCUAAUUUUGUGGGAUUACUGAGCAAAUAACUUGUACAACUGAUUCCUGGGAAGACAAAAGGCUAAAAGUACUGAAAGGUUUCUAUACGGAAAGUCUGAUCACCCCUUCAGUCUUAAGUGAUGCCCAAAGUGGAGAAGAGGAAAUAGGAAAAUGAGGGAAAGCAUGGACAUGUAUCCAAUCAGUAUCCUAGCCCAACCAGGAGCCAUGGUUCAAGCAGAGAAAGGACAACACCCUUCCAGCGGAUUAUACCUGGUAGUGACCAUCAGGAAACCAAGGUUCCCAGAAGGAUGGAGCCAUUGGGAGGAGCAUUCCAAGUAGACAUCCAUAAACACUCUGAUGAGCAGAGACUAUUAGAUUGAAGACCCAGGAAAAAAGAAAAAACAAAAGUGAGGGAGAAGAAUUUUUUAAGAAAUAUAUUAUCUCCAAGCUCUCCUCCACCUGAAUUUAUAUCUCAUAGUUUCAUCUUCAAGCUUCAGUUUAGAAAUAAAACUUCUCCAAGAAGUCCCACAACUUCACAUGAUGUCCUAGAUAUCUUAUAGGAUAUUAGACUUGGUUUAAAUUAUUUUGAAAUCCAUCCAAAUGCCUUUUCCCUGCUGACAGCUCCAUGCUGCCCACUCAUAUAAAAAGACUCACCAGGAGAAUAAAUUAUUUCUUCCCUUGUCAGUGGUAAUUUGUGUUCACUAAAUUACCUCCAGAUCUACUUUCCUGAGUCAAAAAUAACUUCAUAGUUUUUUUUUUUUUUUCUUUUCCUUCCAUGUCCAUCUUGGAAAGACGUAUAGAUUUUGAAGUUAACCUCUCUCUGCUAGAUACUCAGAAAUAAUUAAGCUCGUUUUCUUCUUAAGUCAGCCAGAUGUUUCAUUUUAAGAUGGAACAAUACAUGGUUUAUUUGACCCAAGUUCUCAUGGAAAGGCCAUUGCUUUCACUUUGAUAGUCCUAUUUUGUGAGAGGUAAAAAUGAAAAACAUCUUUAAAAGAAUUCCUUUUUUUCCUGGGAACAGUGCUUGGUCUCAACAGGAAACCACAUUUUUAAAGAACAUGUAAGUUAUUACUGAUGAUGCUCCAGAAUCUGAUCAAACAGUUUAAGCUGCAGCCAUCACGGUGGGAUUUUACCACACUGUUCUUCAUAACUGUUAAAAGAGAUAGAAAUGUCUUAUGAUGUCAAGGUCUGUUUCUGGCAAGGCAUCUAUUUACACAAUUUCUUUGUCACUUUAGCAUUUUCUUCUAAUCAAGCUGGGCAAAUGUGCUUAGGGUACCUUUUAUUUUUGUCUUAAAGAAUGCUAAUAAAUGGUUAAGGGUAUUUUUUACAA